rnacentral:rRNA from 1 species
AGGUCAGCAUACUGUGGUGAAUACGUUCCCGGGCCUUGUACACACCGCCCGUCACACCAUGAGAGUUGAGAAUACCCGAAGCCCAUGUCAAAGUGGUCGAAGGUAGGCUUGAUGAUUGGGGUGAAGUCGUAACAAGGUACC